rnacentral:misc_RNA from 1 species
GAUGAAGAACGUAGUGAAAUGCGAUAAUUAAUGUGAAUUGCAGAAUUCCGUGAAUCAUCGAAUCUUUGAACGCACAUUGCGCCCCCUGGUAUUCCGGGGGGCAUGCCUGUCCGAGCGUCAUUGCAACCUUCAAGCGCGGCUUGUGUGUUGGGUCUCGUCCCCCGUGGACGGGCCCGAAAGGCAGUGGCGGCGUCCCGACAUGGUGCCCGAGCGUAUGGGAAUCCUCUUCCGCUCGAAUCGGCCCAUGCGGCGCUGGUCGUAACCAAAUUUUUUACCGGUUGACCUCGGAUCAGGUAGGGAUACCCGCUGAACUUAAGCAUAUCAAUAAGCGGAGGA